GAUGAACGCUCGCUACAGGCUUAACACAUGCAAGUCGAGGGGCAGCAUGAUUGAAGCUUGCUUCAAUCGAUGGCGACCGGCGCACGGGUGAGUAACACGUAUCCAACCUGCCGAUAACUCGGGGAUAGCCUUUCGAAAGAAAGAUUAAUACCCGAUAGUAUAGUAUUUCCGCCUGGUUUCACUAUUAAAGAACUUCGGUUAUCGAUGGGGAUGCGUUCCAUUAGAUAGUUGGCGGGGUAACGGCCCACCAAGUCAACGAUGGAUAGGGGUUCUGAGAGGAAGGUCCCCCACAUUGGAACUGAGACACGGUCCAAACUCCUACGGGAGGCAGCAGUGAGGAAUAUUGGUCAAUGGACGAGAGUCUGAACCAGCCAAGUAGCGUGAAGGAUGACUGCCCUAUGGGUGGUAAACUUCUUUUAGACGGGAAGAAAGUGGAGUAUGCAUACUCCUUUGUAUGUACCGUAUGAAUAAGGAUCGGCUAACUCCGUG
rnacentral:rRNA from 1 species